AUGGCUCUGCUCUUGUUUUUAUUGCUUUCUUUUGUCCCACUUACUAGCUGGGGAACCUCAGGGAACUCACUCGCUCCUUUGUCCCAGCCUUGGUUUUCUCAAUUACCUGGCUCUGAGGCCCCUUUCAGCUGCAUUAAAUAAGAUACACAGAGCAGAUCCAGGUGAUCUUGGAGGGGAGCUCAGAAAGUAGCUGAUGUUGUGAAAGAAGCAGAAGGAACGCCUUCUAGGCCUAGGAGACAGCCAAUGCGGAGACACAAAGAGAUGAGAAAUGGACUGUCAAGUGUGAGAAAUGGCAAAUAGGCCUGUGUGGCUGGACUGUAGAACACCUGGAAGGAAGGGAUGAAUGAGAAGACAGAUAAUGUUGUGAUAACAGAGAGAUGAGAUGGAACCAAAGAGGGAUGAAGAUUCUCCAGAGUCGUACACCUUAGCUUAGGAGAAGCACCAUCCAAGCAGGUUAAUAGAAAAUGAGAGCCCAGAUCACGUAAUGAAAGGGUAAAAUGGUUGGUGGAGAACCUGUGAACUCCAAUGGUGUCCACAAAUAUCCAUAAGAGAACUAAAGGAAAGAACCCAGCAAGGUGGGUGCUCUGGAUGGAUGAGCAACAUGGUUCAGCAUGGAUGGACGGCUACGUACAAUGGGGAAGACAACAUUAACACUGAUGAGCACGUACUGCCACUGAGGAAUUGACAGAUAUUUAAGUAUAUACACACACAUAUAUGUAUGGAUGUAAUAUUUGCUAAACCUGACCCAAAGAUUAGCUAAUGAACCAAGAAGAGUAAGAAGAACCAGAACAACAGUAAUAGACAAGGAUGACAGUCAUGUAAAAUGAACAUGAAUGCUAGUCAUUCUAAUGACCAACUGGGCCCUGGUGAAGAUAGGAGGAACUAUCUCUUUCCUUUUGGAUUUUGGGUAUAGGAUGGGAGGGAGGGAUCAUAAAUUAGGAAUAUCCCAUACACUGACAGAUGUGGUCACUGUGUCUUUUUUUUGUUGUUGUUGUUUAACCAUUUCUCCUUAUAACAAAGGUAGACUCAUCAUUGGGUACGUAGGUGGUAGUGGAUAUACUCGGAAAUGACUGAUGUAAAGACAAAAGGCAUCAAAAAACUUUAAGAAAGAAAGAGUCAAAGCAUCCCCUCCACAUUCAGUAAAAAGGAUUUUUAUUGAAGCAGUGAAAUCAAACUAGAACAUCUUAUCCCCUCAAGAACACUUUUUUCCUUCCCCAAGGAAGUGCUGAAAGAUCUUCAUUUAUUUGUUUGAUUUUAAAGAAAAUGUUAUGAUAGGGUCAUUAUUGUAGCAUAGGUUUAAAUCUGGAAGGCACCUUCCAAGUCAUGCACUCUUAUUUAAACCCCCAUUUGUAUAUGAGGAACCUGAGAAGCCCAGACCUUGUACUGAGUCACGUAGGCUUUAAGAGAUUUGAAUCUGAGCCUUUAGGCUCCAAACCCAAUACAUGUUCCAUUCACCACACUGCAGGAAGUCAAGCAAAAAUAUUGGUUAUUGCUUUGGACAUCUGUCAAGCAAAUUAUGCCUGAAUUUUUUUUAAAGAAAGGGUUCAGAAAUGGGCUUCUUAGGAAUACUGAAAUUGAUGAGAGGUCAAUUUUUUUUAAAAAUACAGAACAAUUUUAGAUUAUCCAUUGAAGGCAUUACAGUGUAGAUAAUUGAUUUUUGACUGAAAGAAUAAUGAUAAAUGACUCAUUUCAGUACUGUGUCAGGGUAUGCAAAUUGCUUUUCCCAUAAAAGCCUUGUGAAGUGGGUCAUAAGAUUAUAGGGGCACAGGAUUAUCAAUGUAGAGCUGGAAGAAACCUUGGAAGUCAUUUAAUCAAAUCUCCUCAUUUUAAAGAUGACAAAACUAGGACCCAGAGAAGUUACGUUGUUUGUCCAAGAUCCCAUAGCUAGCAAGUAUAUAACAGGAUUUGAACCUCUGGUCUUUCAAGUCCAACAACAAAACAAAAUAAAAAGUUGAUUGUUGUGGCAUCCAUUCUGAAUCACUUGUUGAGACUGAUACUGAAAUUCAUCUGCAUUCUCAUAUAUAUACUCAUUUGACAAGGGUGUAGAAUCAUGCUGGCAAAGACACAACUACAUAGGUUCAAAGUUGACCAUCUGAAAUAAGCCUAAGAUGCCUGUUGACAAGUGUAUGGCCACAGCCGCCUACCAGACUUUAUGGAACAAUCUUGUCCCUUGAUAAGAAAAACAGCAUGGUAAGGCUGGUCUAAAGGGAAAUGGAAGAAUCUGAAAUUUCUUUUGUUAGAUUGGAUGGGUUCUAGUCCAAUCAUCAUGUUUUCAAGGUAACAUCUGGGAAAGACUUUUGAAAAGAAAUAGAAGAUGAAGGGGAAGGAAAAAUCUGAAAUCUGAAUGCCAAAAGGGUUUUCAACUGGGCCUACUUAACAUUUCGGGGAUAUGAUUUUGUGAAAGUGAAAGCAUUUUGCUAAAAUGGGGGCAACAUGAACUCUUUCGCUACAGUUGGUCUCUCAAAGUUGCCCUUAAAAUAUAUCCCUUACCCCAUUUCAGAAUACAGAAUUUAAGGUCAGAUAUUCCAAAGAGAAGAAAAUUCUCCAUCUUUAUCCUGACCAUGUUUAUUCUUAUAUUCUGAUGGAUUUCUGAAGUGUAAUAGUUGACACAUUUGCUUCACACGUGAAAGGUCCCUGGUUCAACUCCAAAUGGAGGCAUGUUUCUAAAAAAGUCAAGUUAGGGAGGUGGUAGAUAUGGAAAAUGUACCCUGUGGGGAGUCUGAGGAUCUCAGUUCAAAUCCAAUCCUUGAUGUUUUCAUUAUGACUUAGGGUAAGUAAACCACUUAGCUUCCCUGGGACUCAGUUUCCUCUUCUAUAAAACAAGAUAGCUGCUAAGAUUCCUUCCAACUCUAACUUUUUGUGACUCAAUGAUGUAGGCAAACCUUUCCAUGGAAACUCCACCUACCACGUCUACAAUGAAUCAGAUUAUUGUGGCAGGUACAUGGAAAAUGAUUUGGGGGAAGGAGAUGCUGGAGCCUAGGACUCAAUUAAGAGGCUCUUGAAAUAGUGUAGAUGAAAGGUGAUGAAAUCUUGAUCUUAGAAAUUGACCAUGUCAGUGGUGACAAAGGGAUGGAUGCAAGAGAUGCUGGGGAGGGAGGGAGAAUCUACAAGAACUGAUUAGCUAUGGCAGGUGAGAAAAAAAGGGAGACUGUGACACCAUGAAUAGAAAUCUGAUUAAGAAAAAGAGUAGGGGUAGCCCUAGCAGAAAAAGACCAAAAACUUUUUCUUUGCAUUUUUAGAGUCCAGAACUAGAGACUUUGAAGGUUAGACUCAAUCUAUAACCUUUUCUUAGACCACUGAAUUCAGACUGCUCUGUGCAGAACACUGGGCUAGUUCUGGAGAGAAAUAUAAUAUUUAGAUAAAUUCAAAUUCAGCAGACAUUUUUUUGAAGCAUACAACACUGUGUUAAGUAGUAAGGGAAUUUAUAAGUUUUAGAUGUACUGAGCUUGAGAUACUUAUGGUGUUACCCAGGAAGAAAUCUGGAAUUAUUCCGUACUGGGUGAUGUGGGAUUGGAGAAGAGGGGAAAUGUACAGAUCAUAGGAUCUGAGAAUUGGAAGCAGAGGGAAACUUUGAGCACAUCUUAGUCCAAUCCCAUCAUUUUACAGAAGAAGAAACUAAGCCAUAGAGAGGUGGAUCAUCUCACCCAACAUCAUAUCAAUAAUAAAGAGCAGAGUUGAGAUCUGAAUCCACAUCCUCUGUGCUUUUGCACAGAGAUUUCAGCCACUGACUAAACUUAAUGAAUCAUGUCUUCUACUUGUCACUUCAAAAGCUGAUGGUUGACCCUAUGGAUGCUAAUGAGAUUUUCCAGUAAGGAGUCUUUGGGAAGUCUCCUGGAUCCCUCCUUAGAGGGAUGUUGAUCCAACAAAGGAGUCUGAGGUAGAGAAGUCAGAUGGAUAGGAAGAGAGCUAUGAGAAAGCAGUAUAUGGAGGAAGGUUGACUCAGAUCUUAGAUUAUUUUCUUUUUUUGAGUUGACAGCUUGUUUCAGGUUGAAUCUGAUAUUAUUGAACACAUUCUUUUCAUUAGAUUAUUUUCCUUACCAAGGUAAUGAGCUUUGCACAGGAAAGAAAAAAUUUAAAAAAAUAGCCAGGAAAAGUGAAUACUAGUAGGUAUUGACUCAGUAAGAAAGUAUCUGGCUAUUCUUGAUGAAAGUCAUCCAGCCCAAAUGAACUACCUACUAAGUGACUUAAAAGAUUGAAUCUUGAGUGAUAUUUGAAAGAAGGAGGAUUAUGAUGAAAGGAUUAGAGAAGGGCAGAUAUCCCGAUUUUAAAAGAAAGGGAAAAGAAUAAAGUCUAUAAAAUGGGCCAGUAAGUUUGACUAUCAACAUUUUAAAGAGGGAUCAGUAAAGGGUUGGUUAAAAACUUCUAGAAAAGGAAAGGAUGAUCUCAAAGAUAGAGGAUGACUACAGCAAGAGGAAGUCAUGGCAAAAGCAGCUCAUUUCCUUUUUUUGAUCACAUUACCAGAUGGGUAGGUCAAGGGGAUGGAAAGCUAUCAUUUCCCUAAAAUGAAGUUGAGCAUUUAACAAAUUCUCUCAUCCUAUUCUUGUCAAAGAGAGUUAAAAGUACAGGUAGGAUGUUUUGUAAUUGGUUUAAAGAUCAGACCCACAAAGUUGUUAUUAAUCUAAUGAACCUAUAUCAGUUUGGAAGGAGGUCUCCAUUGGGAUGCUCCAAGUUGGUUUUGUACUGUUUUCACAUUUUCAUAAACGAUUGGGAUAAAACCACAGAUGGUAUGCUUAUCAGAACUAAAGAUGGCAUAAAGCUAGGGGGGAUGAAACACACUGGAUCAAAGCCAGGGUCUGGAAGCGUUAAUAAACUGGAACACUGGAGCAAAUCUAAUAUGAUGAAAUUGCAUAGGGCUCAAUAUAAAGUCUUACAAUAGGGUUCAAAAAAUCAACUUCAAAUGUGCAAUUGAAGAAAGUAUAACCAGGAGCUAUGAAUACAUAGUCUUUCAGUUAAAGAAGUUGGGGUGCUUUAGUGGAAUACAAGGAGAACAUGAGUCCCAUAUGUAAACAUGGAAGCCCCCAAUAGCUCAUGUGAUCUUGGGCUGCAUUAAUAGAGGGACUGAAUCUGGGAAGAUGAACCUGCUCUCUUCCAUUUUGGACAGACCAUAUCUGUGGUCCUGUGUUCAGGUCUGAGAAUUGUGUUUUAGGAAGGACGUAGAUCAGGGGAAGGCAUCCAAAAGAAUUUAUGCUACAUAAAAACCAGUGGGUUUUUUUGUUUUUUAUUUCUUCUUUUUUUUAAACAUCUUGUUUAGCUAUUUAGCUUGGAGAACAGACAUGAUUGUGGUAUGGGGUAAAUAUAAUAGCUGUUCUCAAGUAUUUGAAGAAUUGUUUUGUGGAAGAAGGAUUAAUCUUGUUCUAAUUCUCAGGUGACAAAACUAGGACCAUUGGACAGAAAUUGCAAAGUGCAACAUCUAUGCUUGAGUCAGAACGCUCCCAUGAAAGUAGAGCUGUCCAAAGAGGGGUUGGGCUGUUUAGGAAGUACCAGAAGUCAUCAGAUAACUAUGUGUCAGAGAUCUUGGAGAAGGGAUCCCUUUAUUGGGUAAGGCUUCUUUCUAUUUUUAAGAUUCUCUGAUUCUCUUAUCUGCCCCGUCCCACCUCAUUUUAUUCAAUGUUCGAGUCUUUUUCUUCACACUUUAAAAAGUCCAGAAGUAGGGACCUUGAAGGUUAGAAACAACCCCUUAGGCCAAUCAAUUCAGAUUGUUCUGUGCAGAACAAUGGACUAGCUCUGGAGAGGAAUAUAAUAUUUAGAUAAAUUCAAAUUCAGCAGAUAUUUUUAAAGCAUAUGAUACUGUGUUAAGUGGCGAGGAGGAAUGAACUAUUUAGAAGAGAUUCAGGUUCUGUAUUAUGGAUCUUAGCAUCUAGAAGGGAGAGAUUCAGUUAUACAAAUAACUAAACUACAUGACAUGAAUGGAGCACAACUAAUUAAAUGCAUAAUUGCAUUUAUUGGAGGGAGUACUACCCCUAUUAUGCCAAAUUUCAAGUAAGUGUAAUGUCUUAUGGGCUCACCAGAGAAGAGCCUUAUUGUGCUAUGUGAAGUUUGAGGAGAAAAACUGUUAUUAGCCAGAAGGAACUGAGAAGGCAGAAGCUGAACUGAUUUUAUUCCAGAGUCUGUAGAGUUUAUGGGCAGAUUUCACAGGUUCCAUGAACUUAGAUGGGGGAAAGAUCACAUUUUAAAUUUUCACUGUUUUCUAAAUUUCUUAUUUAAAACUUAUUUUUAAAAAAUACUAUUUCCCUGGAUUUCCAAAGGAAGUCAUGACAAACAAACAAAAAAUGGCUAAGAAUCCCUGGGUUAGAACAUCUAAUGCAGAGAGUCAUGGUCCUAGACUUUGGAAGACUGAUUGCCAGACCAAGAAACUUGAGGUUUAUUGGGUUGGAAACAAAGGCACACUGAAGGCUUCUGGGAAGAAGCAAGAGCAUGAGUGGAUAAGUACAUAAGAAAGGCAAGUAUAGUGUAACAUGAAGGCUAAACUGGAUCAUCGGAAGAGGUGGAGGCAGAAAGAUUUGUUGGCAGGCUGUAUUAAGGAAAGUGGUAAUUAGGGUUAAUGACAGGAAGUAUUUGGCGUAGGAAUGUAGACAAGGAAUAUUGCAGAAAUAUAACAACCAACACUCAGUAAACAAAUUUUAUAUAUAUGUAUAUACACAUACGUGCAUAUAUUACAUAUGUAUGUGUACAUAUAAAAUAUUUCAAAUAUAACAUAUAAAUUUCAUAUGUAUAUGAAGAAAAAAGAUCAUAGAUCUGGAAGGAAUUUCAGGGGAUGUCUACUUUAAUAUCUUGAUUUUAUAGAUGAGUAAACUGAGGCUCAGGGACAUUAAACAGCUAGAUGGCAUAUUGAGAGAAAGUUCUGGACUUGGUGACAGGAAUAUCUGAGUUCAGAUCCUACCUCAGAUACCCACUUAACUGUGUGAUCCCGGAAAGCCACUUGACCUAUUCAGAUCAGUUUAUAGGAUAUAUUAGUAGUAUCUCUAUAUCUGGGUUAUUGAGGGUCUAAUGGGAUAAUUUAUAUAUAUUAUAAAUAUAUAUAUUUAAAGUGCUAUAUAAUGCUAGUGUUGAUGACGAUGAUUCUACUACUACACCUACAACAACUACUACUAUUACUACUCCUAAGUCCUCCUAUUCUCACUUCCACCUCCAUUCCUACUCUUCUGUCUAUUAUUAAGUGACUAGCCUGAGGUCACAUAGGCAGUAAAUUAUUGAAGUUAGAACUUAGGAACAACUGAUCCACAGUGACAAGAAUAGGGCAACAUUCAUCCUUUUGGUCUCUUUCAGGGUGAGUUUUUAACAGUCUUUCCAGUGGCAACCUGACUAUCGCUGACUGGGCAGUUCUUGUCUGCAGGAGCUUCCUUUUGCUUAUUCCCAUCACCUUUGCCCAGGAGCCAGCAAUCUUCCACUAUUGGGCUUAGAGCAGUGGAGGAGAUGGACUCUUUUCCCCUAUCCUUUGGGCCUGGUGGUUCCAACAACAUCUCCCUUCCUUCCUCUUGCAAACAAAGAAGCAGAAGAAGCACAACUUCCAGGCAAUAGCGUGUGCUAAUGGAACAAGAAGGUAAACAAAGGCACACCAGGUCUCUUAAAUUAUGCAGUGUCUAAUUGGAAUCAUGGAGGUAAUCCUAGUUUCCCUCAGGAUAAACUAGAAGAAGAGAUUUUAAAAGAAGUUUUAGGGGGCAGUUAGAUGGUGCAAUGGAUAGAAUAUCAGCCCAACUGCCUGGCCAAAAAUAAAAUCCCUCUAAUUUAUAAAGUGCUUUGAGAUGUGCAAAAUGUUUUGUUUACACAUGCCAUCCUCAUAGCAAUUCUGGGAAGCAGGUAAUCUCUAUUUGCAUAUGAAAAAAUUGAUGAAAGAGGUCAAGGGACUUGUCUAGAGUUAUACACCUAGCAAGGUUCUGAACGCAAAUCUUUUUAUUUUUGCUGAGACAGUUGGGAUUAAGUGACUUGCUCAGGGUCACACAGCCAGGAAGUGUUAAGUGUCUGAGGCCAGAUUUGAACUCAGGUCCUCCUGACUCCAGGGCCAUUACUCUACCUAUUAGAGCCCCGCUGCUCACUUUUGAAAUCUGGCUUCUAUUUUCUCAGGUCGGGAGAGUGACAUUUGGAAUGGAAGGCACAGAAAAAAAUUGAUAACUAAAGUAAGGUGAUGAUAAGGGAGCACUAGGUCCCCAAUUUCACGCAGAUGAAUCACAGUCCCUAGAGAGGAAUGACUACUAAGUCAUCAUCAUCUGCUGGUCUACCAUGGGGAGGACUGAGCCUCUGGAGCCACUUAUUAAAACCUUGACCAUCUGCACAUUCACAGAUCUGUAAAACGAGAACACUAAUCUAGAAGACCUUCGAAGGUUUCUUCCAGCUCCACACUGUUGGUCCUAUCCCUGGGGGCGGCCAAGCGUUACCCAGUUUCCCAAAGAGGAAAGAGAAUGGAACCUGUAAACAAUGGGCAAGUGAGCUUGACUGAUUCCUAGCUGAAUUCUAGAAUCCAUCCAUUAUGGAGGGUGACUGAACAUUUAAUCAGGAAUCCGUGGUGACAAAAGAGCAGCAUGGCUCCAUCCAGAACAAGUCAUGCCAGACCAACCGUAUUUCCUCUUUUUCACAUCUACUAAAAUGCAGCCAGUACCUCUUCUCAUUCGAUGUUCCCACUGUAACCAAGAGAAACAUCUGAGCAAAAUCAACUGCUCCAACAACCCGAUUGGACAACAUAUGCUACAUUCUGAAUCCAUAUUCCCUUUGCCACUUUACCUGAUAGCUUUACAAGAAAGCUAUCAAGGACCAAGAGUGAGCAUUACAAUUCAUUAAAACUCAACCGUCAAUUAGGGUUGUUUUAAUUUA